GUCUGACAGCUUACUCUCCUCUCCUCAGAUUGACAGAGUCAAUCCAGUUUUCAACAGCUCUUGUUCAGUCUGUCAGGAUGAAGGCAAGUGAGAGAAGACCUUUCUGGACUAAGCCCAGAUAUGGAGCAAAAAAAAUUAGCUCACGAGUGGAAAUGUAACUGGAAGCUCCUCUGACAAACAAACUGAAGUCAAGACAAGAAAAGACUCAGUGACAGCAGGAAUAAGACAUUAUUCAGAUAAAUGAUUCACUUGAGAAUCCAGAAUUUUCUCAAAUGAGUUUAAGAAAGGAAGAAUCAUCAUCAUACUCAUAUGCUGCUUCAUCUGUGUACUUUCAGUGCUCAUUACCAAAGUGUGUCUGCAGCUCACAGUAGAGGGUUUUGUUGGUGGUUCUGUUCUCCUGCCAUGUUCUUCAGCUGAACAUCAUAUUAAACUUUAAGACACUGCUGUUCACUGGAGACACAAUGGCAGCAAGAUUGUGUAUGAUAUAGUUCAGGGUAAAGAUUCAAUAGAAGAUCAGGACCCACGAUACAAGAACAGAGCCAAAACUUUCCCUGAAGAGUAUGUGAGAGGAAACUUCUCCAUCAAUCUCUCUGAUCUCACUCACGCUGAGGCAGGAAAAUAUACCUGUCUCAUCACUCCCUCAUCUGAACACGAGACUGUAGAGCUGAACAUCAACGAAUCCAGAGCAGAAACAGAAAACACAUUCACUAAUCAAAGAAACCGAGGAGAAGAUACAGUGGCAUCACCAUCAUUGCUCUGUGUUUACAUUGUAGUGGCUGUAGUGCUCAAUUUUUAUUAUGAUUUAAUCAUAUAUUUCUGAUCAAAUCAAGUAAACUUGGACUUCUUUGCAACUAAUUGAAUCAAAAUGUCUGUAUUGUGUCUGUCUAAUUAAAUUCAUUCUUAUUCACCCAAUAUUUGUAAAGCACUUAAAUUCUAUAAAAU